rnacentral:rRNA from 1 species
UACGGAAGGCAGCAGUGGGGAAUAUUGCACAAUGGGCGAAAGCCUGAUGCAGCUAUGCCGCGUGUAUGAAGAAGGCCUUAGGGUUGUAAAGUACUUUCAUCGGGGAGGAAAAACAAAACUAAUAAUUUUAUUUCUUGACGUUACCCGAAAAAGAAGCACCGGCUAACUCCGUGCCAGCAGCCGCGGUAAUACGGAGGGUGCUAGCGUUAAUCAGAAUUACUGGGCGUAAAGAGCACGUAGGUGGUUUUUUUAAGUCAGAUGUGAAUCCCUGGGCUUAACCUAGGAACUGCAUUUUGAAACUGAAAUACUAGAGUAUCGUAGAGGGAGGUAGAAUUCUAGGUGUAGCGGUGAAAAUGCGUAGAUAUCUGGAGGAAUACCUGUGGCGAAAGCGGCCUCCUAAACGAAUACUGACACUGAGGGUGCGGAAAGCGUGGGGAGCAAACAGGGAUUAGAUACC